AGGAAUAUACUUUCAGGGAUCAUUUCCAUAGUUUGUACCUAGAGAGAUGCUUUCAAAAGUGAGUGGUCUUGCCAGUUACAAUGACAAGUAAUAAUGUUUUUUCCUGAGCAUGAAGAAGUUAGUAAAAUAUUUUCAUAUAUGUUUUACUAUUCUUGAUGACUGCUUGUGCUUAGCUUAUAGCUUAGCAUGAAGGAAAAAGCAUAAUCCGGGUGGU